rnacentral:rRNA from 1 species
UGUUAGCGGCGGACGGGUGAGUAACACGUGGGUAACCUGCCUUUAAGACUGGGAUAACUCCGGGAAACCGGGGCUAAUACCGGAUGGUUGUCUGAACCGCAUGGUUCAGACAUAAAAGGUGGCUUCGGCUACCACUUACAGAUGGACCCGCGGCGCAUUAGCUAGUUGGUGAGGUAACGGCUCACCAAGGCGACGAUGCGUAGCCGACCUGAGAGGGUGAUCGGCCACACUGGGACUGAGACACGGCCCAGACUCCUACGGGAGGCAGCAGUAGGGAAUCUUCCGCAAUGGACGAAAGUCUGACGGAGCAACGCCGCGUGAGUGAUGAAGGUUUUCGGAUCGUAAAGCUCUGUUGUUAGGGAAGAACAAGUGCCGUUCAAAUAGGGCGGCACCUUGACGGUACCUAACCAGAAAGCCACGGCUAACUACGUGCCAGCAGCCGCGGUAAUACGUAGGUGGCAAGCGUUGUCCGGAAUUAUUGGGCGUAAAGGGCUCGCAGGCGGUUUCUUAAGUCUGAUGUGAAAGCCCCCGGCUCAACCGGGGAGGGUCAUUGGAAACUGGGGAACUUGAGUGCAGAAGAGGAGAGUGGAAUUCCACGUGUAGCGGUGAAAUGCGUAGAGAUGUGGAGGAACACCAGUGGCGAAGGCGACUCUCUGGUCUGUAACUGACGCUGAGGAGCGAAAGCGUGGGGAGCGAACAGGAUUAGAUACCCUGGUAGUCCACGCCGUAAACGAUGAGUGCUAAGUGUUAGGGGGUCUCCGCCCCUUAGUGCUGCAGCUAACGCAUUAAGCACUCCGCCUGGGGAGUACGGUCGCAAGACUGAAACUCAAAGGAAUUGACGGGGGCCCGCACAAGCGGUGGAGCAUGUGGUUUAAUUCGAAGCAACGCGAAGAACCUUACCAGGUCUUGACAUCCUCUGACAAUCCUAGAGAUAGGACGUCCCCUUCGGGGGCAGAGUGACAGG